rnacentral:rRNA from 1 species
GUGGGGAAUAUUGGGCAAUUGGCGAAAGCCUGACCCAGCAACGCCGCGUGAAGGAAGAAGGUUUUCGGAUCGUAAACUUCUAUCCUUGGUGAAGAUAAUGACGGUAGCCAAGAAGGAAGCCCCGGCUAACUACGUGCCAGCAGCCGCGGUAAUACGUAGGGGGCAAGCGUUGUCCGGAAUGAUUGGGCGUAAAGGGCGCGUAGGCGGCCCGGUAAGUCUGAAGUGAAAGUCCUGCUUUUAAGGUGGGAAUUGCUUUGGAUACUGUCGGGCUUGAGUGCAGGAGAGGUAAGCGGAAUUCCCGGUGUAGCGGUGAAAUGCGUAGAGAUCGGGAGGAACACCAGUGGCGAAGGCGGCUUACUGGACUGUAACUGACGCUGAGGCGCGAAAGUGUGGGGAGCAAACAGGAUUAGAAACCCGGGUAGUCC